rnacentral:rRNA from 1 species
GACGAACGCUGGCGGCGUGCCUAAUACAUGCAAGUAGAACGCUGAAGGAGGAGCUUGCUUCUCUGGAUGAGUUGCGAACGGGUGAGUAACGCGUAGGUAACCUGCCUGGUAGCGGGGGAUAACUAUUGGAAACGAUAGCUAAUACCGCAUAAUAGCAGUUAUUGCAUGAUAACUGUUUGAAAGGUGCAAUUGCACCACUACCAGAUGGACCUGCGUUGUAUUAGCUAGUUGGUGGGGUAACGGCUCACCAAGGCGACGAUACAUAGCCGACCUGAGAGGGGGAUCGGCCACACUGGAACUGAGAACCGGCCCAGACUCCUACGGGAGGCAGCAGUAGGGAAUCUUCGGCAAUGGGCGGAAGCCUGACGGAGCAACGCCGCGUGAGUGAAGAAGGUUUUCGGAUCGUAAAGCUCUGUUGUAAGGGAAGAACGAGUGUGAAAGUGAAAAUGUACCACUUGACGGGUACUUAACAGAAAGGGAAGGGUAACCACGUG